rnacentral:rRNA from 1 species
AGUGAACGCUGGCGGUAGGCCUAACACAUGCAAGUCGAACGGCAGCACAGUAAGAGCUUGCUCUUACGGGUGGCGAGUGGCGGACGGGUGAGGAAUACAUCGGAAUCUACUUUUUCGUGGGGGAUAACGUAGGGAAACUUACGCUAAUACCGCAUACGACCUACGGGUGAUAGCAGGGGAUCUUCGGACCUUGCGCGAUUGGAUGAGCCGAUGUCGGAUUAGCUAGUUGGCGGGGUAAAGGCCCACCAAGGCGACGAUCCGUAGCUGGUCUGAGAGGAUGAUCAGCCACACUGGAACUGAGACACGGUCCAGACUCCCACGGGAGGCAGCAGUGGGGAAUAUUGGACAAUGGGCGCAAGCCUGAUCCAGCCAUACCGCGUGGGUGAAGAAGGCCUUCGGGUUGUAAAGCCCUUUUGUUGGGAAAGAAAAGCAGCAGGUUAAUACCCCGCUGUUCUGACGGUACCCAAAGAAUAAGCACCGGCUAACUUCGUG